UACGUAGGGGGCAAGCGUUGUCCGGAUUUACUGGGUGUAAAGGGCGUGCAGCCGGGCUGACAAGUCAGAUGUGAAAUCCCGCGGCUCAACCGCGGAACUGCAUUUGAAACUGUCAGUCUUGAGUACCGGAGAGGUCAUCGGAAUUCCUUGUGUAGCGGUGAAAUGCGUAGAUAUAAGGAAGAACACUAGUGGCGAAGGCGGAUGACUGGACGGCAACUGACGGUGAGGCGCGAAAGCGUGGGGAGCAAACAGG
rnacentral:rRNA from 1 species